UAGUCUAGUGGUUAAGGCUAUGGAUCGCGAAUCCGGAGGCGGCGGGUUCGAUUCCCGU
rnacentral:tRNA from 1 species